CCCAGGUCACUCCGGGUCAGCCCAGGUCAUCCCGGGUCACCCCAGGUCACCCCAGGUCAGGCCAGGUCACCCCAGG